rnacentral:rRNA from 1 species
UACGGAGGGUGCAAGCGUUGUCCGGAUUUAUUGGGUUUAAAGGGUGCGUAGGCGGCUAUUUAAGUCAGUGGUGAAAUCCAACAGCUUAACUGUUGAACUGCCAUUGAUACUGGAUGGCUUGAGUACAGACGAGGUAGGCGGAAUUUAUGGUGUAGCGGUGAAAUGCAUAGAUACCAUAAAGAACACCGAUUGCGAAGGCAGCUUACUAGGCUGUAACUGACGCUGAGGCACGAAAGUGUGGGGAUCAAACAGGAUUAGAUACCCUGGUAGUCCACACUGUAAACGAUGAUUACUCGAUGUGUGCGAUAGACAGUACGCGUCCAAGCGAAAGCGUUAAGUAAUCCACCUGGGGAGUACGAUCGCAAGAUUGAA